CUUUAACAUUCCAUUAAACCUCAGUCACUUGUGGGACUAUGUUUCAGGAUACAGUCUUCACCAGUUGUUCAAUCUUUUCUGGAGUCACAAUUGUUCUUCAUGGUCCUAAUUCCUGCUUCAUGGUCCCUGGAUGUGACAUCCCCAAUCCAUUUCUCUGAAUGCCUGAAUUCACUGGAAAUAUGUCUCUCACUCCCUUAGAAUUUAGCAGUGAAUCCAUCAAGGCCUGGGCUUUUCUUUGUUGCUUCCUCGUGGAGAAGGCCAUAUGACAAGGAAUGGAAGAAGGCCUCUGACCAACAGCUAAAGAAGCAAUCAGAAGCAGAUGCAGAGAUGAAGUAUAUUUGCACAGAAUUUCCUGAAGUACUCUCAGGAGAGACUAAUUACAAGUCUGGAAGCAGCAGAAAAAUAUUGUAAAGAAGCUAUCAAAGGAACAAUUUCAGGUUCAGUGGUAGCCUCAGUCAGUCUUCUGGGGAGCUCUAGAAAAUAAAUUAUACUUUGA
rnacentral:lncRNA from 1 species